GACGAACGCUGGCGGCGUGCUUAACACAUGCAAGUCGAACGGAAAGGCCCUGCUUUUGUGGGGUGCUCGAGUGGCGAACGGGUGAGUAACACGUGAGUAACCUGCCCUUGACUUUGGGAUAACUUCAGGAAACUGGGGCUAAUACCGGAUAGGAGCUCCUGCUGCAUGGUGGGGGUUGGAAAGUUUCGGCGGUUGGGGCUGGACUCGCGGCUUAUCAGCUUGUUGGUGGGGUAGUGGCUUACCAAGGCUUUGACGGGUAGCCGGCCUGAGAGGGUGACCGGCCACAUUGGGACUGAGAUACGGCCCAGACGCCUACGGGAGGCAACGGUGGGGAAUAUUGCACAAUGGGCGGAAGCCGGAUGCAGCAACGCCGCGUGCGGGAUGACGGCCUUCGGGUUGUAAACCGCUUUCGCGUGUGACGAAGCGUGAGUGACGGUAAUGGGUAAAGAAGCACCGGCUAACUACGU
rnacentral:rRNA from 1 species